rnacentral:tRNA from 1 species
GGGCCGUAGCUCAGUUGGAAGAGCGCCGCCUUUGCACGGCGGAGGUCAGGGGUUCGAAUCCCCUCGGCUCCA